AGCUUUUCUGCCUGUUUGUAAUCCUUCAAUUUUAAUUUACAUGCAGCAUUAUUUAGGUUAGAAGCAACCUUUAAUGCCUUGGCCUGCUUUUUUUCCUCCUCACCAAAAGAAGAAUCAUAUUCUAUGUAUUUGACUGCCUUCUCAUAUCUCUUAGACGCUUUAGCAUAUUUUCCAGCUUUGAACAAAACAUUGCCUUCUUCCUUCUUCUUACCAGCAGCUUCAAUUUUUUCUUGGG
rnacentral:misc_RNA from 1 species